rnacentral:other from 1 species
UUCUCUCUGCCCUGUUCGCUGGUUGUAGUGCCCGGGCGGAAUAAAUAAAGAACGGGAGACCUUCGAUGCCGUGGUGUGCUGCCCCAUUAUGCGGGAAUUGCCUGAAACGGUACAUGGUCGCCCACCUGUUAAGGAACUCGCCGGAGGUCCUUUAAACUGUCGGCAGGACGGAGAGAAC